UACGUAGGGUGCAAGCGUUGUUCGGAUUUACUGGGCGUAAAGGGCGCGCAGGCGGCUUAUUUUGUCAGGCGUGAAAGCCCCGGGCUUAACCUGGGAACUGCGUUUGAUACGGAUGGGCUAGAGUUCGGGAGAGGAGCGUGGAAUUCCCAGUGUAGAGGUGAAAUUCGUAGAUAUUGGGAAGAACACCGGUGGCGAAGGCGGCGCUCUGGACCGAGACUGACGCUGAGGCGCGAAAGCGUGGGGAGCAAACAGG
rnacentral:rRNA from 1 species